rnacentral:rRNA from 8 species
GGUAGGACUACCCGCUGAACUUAAGC